rnacentral:rRNA from 1 species
UACGAAGGGAGCUAGCGUUGUUCGGAAUCACUGGGCGUAACGCGCACGUAGGCGGACCUUUAAGUCAGGGGUGAAAUCCCGGGGCUCAACCUCGGAACUGCCUUUGAUACUGGAGGUCUCGAGACCGGAAGAGGUGAGUGGAAUUCCUAGUGUAGAGGUGAAAUUCGUAGAUAUUAGGAAGAACACCAGUGGCGAAGGCGGCUCACUGGUUCGGUUCUGACGCUGAGGUGCGAAAGCGUGGGGAGCAAACAGG